CAUGCAAGUCGAACGAAGUAGCAAUACUUAGUGGCAGACGGGUGAGCAACAUGUAGGUAUCUGCCCUUUGGCCUGGAAUAACACGAGGAAACUUGUGCUAAUACCGGAUAAGUCUUUACGGAGAAAGCUUUAUGCACCAUUGGAUGAGCCUGCACUUGAUUAGUUUGUUGGUGGGGUAAUGGCCUACCAAGACUGUGAUCAAUAGCUGAUUUGAGAGGAUGAUCAGCCACAUUGGGACUGAGACACGGCCCAAACUCCUACGGGAGGCAGCAGUGGGGAAUCUUGCACAAUGGAGGAAACUCUGAUGCAGCGAUGCCGCGUGAGUGAAGAAGGCCCUUGGGUUGUAAAGCUCUUUCGUCGGGGAAGAAAAUGACUGUACCCGAAUAAGAAGGUCCGGCUAACUUCGUGCCAGCAGCCGCGGUAAUACGAAGGGACCUAGCGUAGUUCGGAAUUACUGGGCUUAAAGAGUUCGUAGGUGGUUGAAAAAGUUGGUGGUGAAAUCCCAGAGCUUAACUCUGGAACUGCCAUCAAAACUUUUCAGCUAGAGUAUGAUAGAGGAAAGCAGAAUUUCUAGUGUAGAGGUGUAAUUCGUAGAUAUUA
rnacentral:rRNA from 1 species